ACAAAUGUAGAAAGAUGAAGAAACUGAACAAAACGUUCAAAGAACCACUAAUGUCUUUACCUAUGUCCUAACAAUUGAUGCCAAUAUCCUUUGCACUAGGCCAUUCAACCUAGUGGGAGAAUGUAUCUUUCCUUUGACGAGUCUUUCAGC